rnacentral:ncRNA from 1 species
CCAUCUGUAUCACCAGAUGACCCUAUGGCUCUGAAUAAAGUAGCGAGCCAGACAAUGUAACGAAGUCAAGUAACUACUUGGCGGGAAGUAAAUCGUGAGAAGAACUUCCUCCUGACAACCACAAAUCGGGUGAGUAC